rnacentral:rRNA from 1 species
CGGCGGACGGGUGAGUAACACGUGGAUAACUUACCUAUAAGACUGGGAUAACUUCGGGAAACCGGAGCUAAUACCGGAUAAUAUAUUGAACCGCAUGGUUCAAUAGUGAAAGACGGUUUUGCUGUCACUUAUAGAUGGAUCCGCGCCGCAUUAGCUAGUUGGUAAGGUAACGGCUUACCAAGGCAACGAUGCGUAGCCGACCUGAGAGGGUGAUCGGCCACACUGGAACUGAGACACGGUCCAGACUCCUACGGGAGGCAGCAGUU